AUCUGGGAAAUGUCCGGUGAAAAGUGUUGGACGGCUAGGCACACA
rnacentral:sRNA from 1 species